rnacentral:rRNA from 1 species
GAAACUACGCCUACCAUGAAGCUGAAGUUACUAGUAAUCGCAGAUCAGAAUGCUGCGGUGAAUGCGUUCCCGGGUCUUGUACACACCGCCCGUCACACCACGGAAGUUGGGGGCGCCCGAAGCCACUUAGCUAACCCUUUUGGGAAGCGAGUGUCGAGGGUGAAAUCAAUAACUGGGGUGAAGUCGUAACAAGGUACC